UCAACGUCCAUUAGAGCUAUCUCAAGCAAAUCCUCGAUCAAGAAGAUCUUUGAUAUCCUCAAAGAUAUCGAUUAAAUCUCUUCUGCUAUUACAUGUUCUCGUUUUUCUCAUAUCUCUUGUUCUCUGAACAGCGAUGCUGAUUAUCUCGCAAAACAGGUUUUUAGAGCACUUUCAAUAGGAUUGCUUAUGGAGAUGCUAAGGGGUGGAUUUCACCAGAAAAAGAAGAAAUAGCGGUGCAAAGUGUGCUUAAUUAAACAUUGAAGUUUAAGUUUGUACUAUUUCGUGGGUUCUAUGACAUGUGGUAGCACACGAUUGGUUUUUUUUCUUGAAUCAGAUAAAAAAAUUAAAAAAUAAGCACCGGAAUGCUGCGUUAAUGAUGCUCUUUAAGGCUUUCUCAAUUUCUGCUUCUACUUGUAACCCCAUGUUGGACUAGCCCGUUUAGGGUCCAGACAUUUUUUCUUUAUUUAAUAUCAAAUCGUUGCGAAAAAAUAAAUCCAUGAUAACCCUAACCUUCACAAUAAAAGUUCCAUUCCACUAAAGAAGGGCUUGGUUCGUGUCGUUGGGAAGAAAUCUGGAGAUGGCGUUGCAGAAGCUAGUUUCCUCCGUUGCUAAAAUAAUCGAAACGAGCAGCGGCCUCUGCAGCAGGUUAGGGUUGACCAAUUGUCCUCGACCAUGAAACGUGUGUGGGAAGAAGAGGUCAGCCAGAACAAACUCGGUGUUUCCCUGGUACUAGCCGCUGCAGGUCUGGUCGGUCACAAAAAGAGCGAGUAUGACGAUGUGAAAAAUUUGAGAGCACAGCUCCAUCAGAUACUUGCGGACUGUGAGAUCCUGUUGCAGCGUUGCGAUGCAAAUUCGCAAGCUUUUCAUUCUACGGAGGCGAAGAUGAAGAAGCUGAAGAGAGAAAUUUGGUUAUCCAAGGAAACAUGAUGAUGAUGAUUACUCAACUCAAAAACAAACAACAAUCUCUGCUCCUCUACUUGCUUCAUGUUUACAUUUAUGCUUUGUGUGUUGUUUUUAUGUAUGAACUUCCCUAAACUUUGAACUAACUUCCCUAAACUUUAAAAGAAAAGAUUCGUUUGUAAAAGUUCACGUGCAUUUCGGUGAUUCAAAUGAAACAAGAGUAUGAGAAAACAAGACACAAAAGUAACAUGCUUCUCUUACUCAACUAGCUGGUUUGAAAAAAAAAUAUGAACACAAUCGAUGGACAAGGGAAAAUGUGGUGGGAGUUAUGGUGGAACAGAACAUUAGUGCAUACGAGAGGCCAUCUUAUUGAGAUCAAGAACUCUCAUAAUAUCCUCAUCUCUAACCUCACUUUGCUCAACUCUCCUUUCUGGACUAUCCAUCCUGUUUACUGCAGGUUCCUUAUUUAUACUUCCAAAACUGUUUUUGCUUGCAUUUAUGCUCUGUUACAAGUGUGCAUGGUUCAAAUAAUCUCUAUACCAUUUUUAUCUUACAGCAAUGUUGUUGUUAGAAACAUGACCAUCCUUGCUCCAAUGAAUGCUCCUAACACCGACCGAUGAUAUAGACCCAUACUCAAGCACCAACGUCUGCAUUGAGGACUGUUACAUCGAAAGCGGCGAUGACCUUGUAGCUGUGAAGAGCGGGUGGGACCAGUACGGAAUGGCCAUGGCACGUCCGAGUUCAAACAUCAUCAUCAGACGGAUCUCUGGGACUACACGAACUUGUUCAGGUGUUGGAAUAGGUAGUGAGAUGUCUGGUGGGAUUUUCAACGUAACAAUCCAAGACAUUCACGUCUGGGACUCAGCAGCUGGGCUCCGCAUCAAAACAGAUAUAGGGAGAGGCGGUUACAUUUCGAAUAUCACCGUUAGUAAUGUGUUCUUGGAGAAAGUGAAAGUUCCAAUAAGGUUCAGCAGAGGCUCUAACGACCACCCUGUGAGUGUGGAUUCAAGAAAGGCUCCAAUGUUGCUUGGUGUUGAAGGUGCAUCGUUUCAAGAUAUAUGUUUGAGGAAUGUAACGCUCUUGGGUUACCGGAGACAGAGAAAUGGAAAUGCAAGGAUGUUUCAGGGUAUGCGAGUGAUGUUUUUCCUUUGCCAUGUCCACAAUUGUUGCAGAGGAAAGGUUUGCUCUCUCAGUGUUCAUAGAUGAGUUUUUGAGGUUCUUGAUUAAAUGGUGUUUUGGUUAGUUAGUUUUUUAGAUUUACAUGUGAUGAUGAUGGUAGAGGAGGCCAUGAGUUUGAGCGAUUUUUUUUUUUGGUUCGGGUGAAGAUUCAUGGUCUACUUUACAUGAUGUC